rnacentral:rRNA from 1 species
GACGAACGCUGGCGGCGUGCUUAACACAUGCAAGUCGUACGGUAAGGCCCUUUCGGGGGUACACGAGUGGCGAACGGGUGAGUAACACGUGAGUAACCUGCCCACAACUUUGGGAUAACGCUAGGAAACUGGUGCUAAUACUGGAUAUGUGCUCCUGCUGCAUGGUGGGGGUUGGAAAGCUCCGGCGGUUGUGGAUGGACUCGCGGCCUAUCAGCUUGCUGGUGGGGUAGUGGCCUACCAAGGCGGCGACGGGUAGCCGGCCUGAGAGGGUGACCGGCCACAUUGGGACUGAGAUACGGCCCAGACUCCUACGGGAGGCAGCAGUGGGGAAUAUUGCACAAUGGGCGCAAGCCUGAUGCAGCAACGCCGCGUGCGGGAGGACGGCCUUCGGGUUGUAAACCGCUUUCAGCAGGGACGAAGCUUUUUGUGACGGUACCUGCAGAAGAAGCACCGGCUAACUACGUG